UCUGGUUGAUCAUGCCAGUAAUAUAUGCUUGUCUCAAAGAUUAAUCCAUGCAUGUCUAAGUAUAAAUAGUAUACCUUAAAACUGCAAAUGGCUCAUUAAAACAGUUAUAGUUUAUUUGAUAAUCAAACGCUACAUGGAUAACCGUGGUAAUUCUAGAGCUAAUACAUGCUGAUAACAUGGCGCAAGUCAUGUUGUAUUUAUUAGAUAUUAAACCAAUAUGUUAAUAGCAUUUUGAAGGAAUUACAGUAACUGAUCGAAUCCCCACUUGUUGAGGAUAAAUCAUUCAAGUUUCUGCCCUAUCAGCUUUCGAUGGUAGUGUAUUGGACUACCAUGGCGAUUACGGGUAACGGAGAAUUAGUGUUCGAUUCCGGAGAGGGAGCCUGAGAAACGGCUACCACAUCUAAGGAAGGCAGCAGGAACAUAAAUUACCCAAUGUCGACUCGAUGAGCGUAGUGACAAUACAUAACAAAGAGGGGAUUUAUUAUCUUACUCUAUUGCAAUGAGGCAUGUUUAAUAACCUGUUCGAGCAACCAGUGAAGGGCAAGUCUGGUGCCAGCAGCCGCGGUAAUUCCAGCUUCACGAGUGUAUAUUUAAGUUGUUGCAGUUAAAAAGCUCGUAGUUGAAAAUCUGUUCGUUCAGAAGGUGUUCAUAGCAUUUUCUGGAUGAGCAUCCGCCUGAAAAAUCAUUCGGGUCUUCACUGAUUCAGUGAUGGAUCAGGCAUUUUACUUUGAAAAAAUUAGAGUGUUCAAAGCAGGCUCACGCCUGAGUACAUUAGCAUGGAAUAAUAGAAUAGGACGCUGUUCAAUUUGUUGGUUAUUGAAUUGCGUAAUGAUUAAUAGGGACAGUUGGGGGCAUUUGUAUUUAAUUGUCAGAGGUGAAAUUCUUGGAUUUAUUAAAGACAAACUUAUGCGAAAGCAUUUGCCAAGGAUGUUUUCAUUAAUCAAGAACGAAAGUUAGAGGAUCAAAGACGAUCAGAUACCGUCCUAGUUUUAGCUAUAAACUAUGCCGACUCGGUCUCCGUCGAGUAAUUUUAACUCGAUGGGUGCCGUAUGAGAAAUCAAAGUCUUUGGGUUCCGGGGGGAGUAUGGUCGCAAGGUUGAAACUUAAAGGAAUAGACGGAACGUCACUACCAGGUGUGGAUCCUGCGGCUUAAUUUGACCCAACACGGGGAAACUUACCAGCGCAAAACAAGGGUGGGAUUGACAGAUUGAGAGCUUUUUCUUGAUUCUUUGGAUAGUGGUGCAUGGCCGUUCUUAGUUGGUGGAGUGAUUUGUCUGCUUAAUUGCGUUAACGAACGAGACCUCAACCUACUUACUAGACAUACGAU
rnacentral:rRNA from 1 species